rnacentral:rRNA from 1 species
CAAUAGCGUAUAUUAAAGUUGUUGCAGUUAAAAAGCUCGUAGUUGGAUUUGUGGCGUACGGUGUGUUCCGGGCACUUGUUGUCUGAGUAACCUGCUGUUGACAUCCUUGGGUGGAACCUGUGUGGCAUUAGGUUGUCGUGCAGGGGAUGCCCAUCAUUUACUGUGAAAAAAUUAGAGUGUUCAAAGCAGGCUUAUGCCGUUGAAUAUAUUAGCAUGGAAUAAUGAGAUAGGACUUUUUUGCUAUUUUGUUGGUUUGCGCAAAGAGGUAAUGAUUAAUAGGGACAGUUGGGGGUAUUCGUAUUCCAUUGUCAGAGGUGAAAUUCUUGGAUUUCUGGAAGACGAACUACUGCGAAAGCAUUUACCAAGGAUGUUUUCAUUAA